CCUACGGGGCGCAGCAGUGGGGAAUAUUGCGCAAUGGGGGAAACCCUGACGCAGCAACGCCGCGUGAGUGAAGACGUAUCUCGGUAUGUAAAGCUCUAUCAGCGGGGAAGAAGGAAGACGGUACCCGACUAAGAAGCCCCGUCCAACUACGUGCCAGCGGCCGCGGCAAUACGUAGGGGGCGAGCGUUAUCCGGAUUUACUGGGGGUAAAGGGAGCGUAGACGGCGUCGCAAGUCUGAAGUGAAAGCCCGUGGCUCAACCGCGGAACCGCUUUGGAAACUGCGUGGCUGGAGUGCUGGAGAGGUAAGCGGAAUUCCUGGUGUAGCGGUGAAAUGCGUAGAUAUCAGGCGGAACACCGAUGGCGAAGGCGGCUUACUGG
rnacentral:rRNA from 1 species